AUGAGGAGCUGACUUCCCUCUCAGGACCAACCCGGGAGAGCCCCAGUCCUGGGAGUGUUGGGUCACUCCACAGGGAGUGGCAGAGCCCCCUUCUCAGAGCAGAUUGAGAGAGACACCCAGGUUGUGGACUCUCAUGGGUCAUGCCUCCAGGGGCUCACGGAGCUCCCUUCUCAGAGCAGCCUCAGCGUGUGGAUUCUUGGCUUAGGGACUUUCAUCAUGAACAUUUGAAAUAAAAUCAGAAUUUGUUAAAGGGCAGAUGACAGCCAGCCUUGAGCCCUGAUGAUCCCAGGAUCCCAUCCAGUGGGAGAACUCUAAGUAUCAGUCCAAGCUUUUGAUCCCAUCUAGGAGCCAACAUGACAUCCAGUCAUCAUGUCUCCAUAGACUUCUCUUGGGGUGACAGUUUCUAUGAACUUCCUUGUUCUGAUGACCUUGAGAGCAUUGAGGACGACUUGUCAGGCUCCACUGUGGAUUCAGGAUGACUGAGGUCCAUGUGAGGAAAACAUGAGGAAGAAGCUUCCUGUGCACUGCCUGGUGGGCUGAGAAAUCAUGAACAUUUGAAAUAAAAUCAGAAUUUGUUAAAGGGCAGAUGACAGUCAGCCUUGAGCCCUGAUGAUCCCAGGAUCCUAUCCAGUGGGGGAACUCUAAGUACCAGUCCAAGGAGCUGUGUGCCUGAGAUCAAGGCCAAAGCUGAUAAGACUCCAGCACAAAGCCUUCUAAUGCAGGACAUUGCUAUAGCAGGUAGGCAUCCCGUGUCUUUGCACAGAAGUUUUCCUAGCAUCCAGGCAUUCCACAUCUUUGCACAGAAACUUCCUAGCCACCAAGUAUGCCACAUUCAUGAAGCCAUCAGAGACCCCAGUCCCAAACACAGAACCCUUACAAUUAAGGCCAAAGGGAAGCUGUUAUAUCAGUUUUACAUGCUAUAAUGUGGACAUAAUAUUAGUUUUAAAACUGAAGAGCUGCCUGUGACCUUUUAAUACAAACAUACUAUGAAAUUAUAAUGAAUAUAAUAGCUCUUUUGUGGACUGUAUAACUAAUAUGGUAUCCAUAUUAAGGCAUCAAAAACUGACAUAGUAGCUGAAAUGUGUAAUUUAGUGUUAAUAUUAUAUCCAUACUAUGGACCUAAAACUAAUCACAUACCUUUCCUGUGGUCUUUCAUUUUAAUACAAUAUCCAUAUUAUAGCAUCUAAAACUAAUAUAAUAGCUGCCCUGUGGCUUUUAGAACUAAUAUGAUAUCCAAAUUAUAACAUUUGCCAAGGACCCUUAAUAUUAAUAUGAUAUUGAUAAACUAGCAUCUAAAACUAAUAAAAUAUUUGCCUGUGACCUUUAAUACUAAUAUGAUAUUCACAUAUACCACCUAAAGCAAUAUAUUAGCUUGCCUAUGGCCUUAAAUAUUAAUAUAAUAUUCAUACUGUGACAUAAAAAACUAUAUAAUAGCUAC